rnacentral:rRNA from 1 species
GUGGGGAAUUUUGGACAAUGGGCGAAAGCCUGAUCCAGCAAUGCCGCGUGUGUGAAGAAGGCCUUCGGGUUGUAAAGCACUUUUGUCCGGAAAGAAAUCCUUUGGGUUAAUACCUCGGAGGGAUGACGGUACCGGAAGAAUAAGGACCGGCUAACUACGUGCCAGCAGCCGCGGUAAUACGUAGGGUCCGAGCGUUAAUCGGAAUUACUGGGCGUAAAGCGUGCGCAGGCGGUUUUGUAAGACAGAUGUGAAAUCCCCGGGCUUAACCUGGGAAUUGCAUUUGUGACUGCAAGGCUAGAGUGUGUCAGAGGGGGGUAGAAUUCCACGUGUAGCAGUGACAUGCGUAGAGAUGUGGAGGAAUACCGAUGGCGAAGGCAGCCCCCUGGGAUAACACUGACGCUCAUGCACGAAAGCGUGGGGAGCAAACAGGAUUAGAUACCCUGGUAGUCC